rnacentral:tRNA from 1 species
GGGGAUUUAGCUCAGCGCUAAAAGCACCUGCCUUGCAAGCAGGCAGUUGUGAGUUCGAUCCCCG